AACGAACGCUGGCGGCAGGCCUAACACAUGCAAGUCGAACGAAGUCUUCGGACUUAGUGGCGGACGGGUGAGUAACACGUGGGAACGUGCCUUUAGGUUCGGAAUAACUCAGGGAAACUUGUGCUAAUACCGAAUGUGCCCUUCGGGGGAAAGAUUUAUCGCCUUUAGAGCGGCCCGCGUCUGAUUAGCUAGUUGGUGAGGGAAAGGCUCACCAAGGCUACGAUCAGUAGCUGGUCUGAGAGGAUGACCAGCCACAUUGGGACUGAGACACGGCCCAAGCUCCUGCGGGAGGCAGCAGUGGGGAAUCUUGCGCAAUGGGCGAAAGCCUGACGCAGCCAUGCCGCGUGGAUGAUGAAGGUCUUAGGAUUGUAAAAUCCUUUCACCGGUGAAGAUAAUGACUGUAGCCGGAGAAGAAGCCCCGGCUAACUUCGUGCCAGCCGCCGCAGUAAAAC
rnacentral:rRNA from 1 species